rnacentral:rRNA from 1 species
CCUACGGUAGGCAGCAGUAGGGAAUCUUUCACAAUGGGCGAAAGCCUGAUGGAGCAACGCCGCGUGCAGGAUGAAGGCCUUCGGGUUGUAAACUGCUUUUAUAAGCGAGAAAUAUGAUGGUAACUUAUGAAUAAGGCUCGGCUAACUACGUGCCAGCCGCCGCGGUCAUACGUAGGAUCCGAGCAUUAUCCGGAGUGACUGGGUGUAAAGAGGUGCGUAGGUGGCAUAAGAAGUAGCUAGUGAAAUCUGGUGGCUCAAACAUUCAGACUAUUAGCUAAACUGUUAGGCUCGAGACCGUUAGGGGUAAGCGGAAUUUCUGGUGUAGGAGUGAAAUCCGUAGAUAUUAGAAGGAACACCAAUAGCGUAGGCAGGUUGCUGGGACGGGUCUGACACUAAGGCACGAAAGCGUAGGGAGCAAACGGGAUUAGAUACCCCUGUAGUC